GGUCUUAUAUUCAUUUAAUGAUAUAAAAUUGCAAAUUUUAAGGAGUAAGAAAGAAAUACUAAGGCUU
rnacentral:tRNA from 1 species